UUGAAAAUGUGGGAAUUUUACCAUUCAAAGGUUGGUGGCAUACCAUGCUUGGUGGCACCUACCUAGCCAUAUUUCUUGGACCCAAAUUUGCAUAUUUUCACACUUUUUUUAUUAAUAUAUAUAGGAGUAGUGUUGUUUGAAAUUGUACGAGAUGUAAGGAGAAGAAAAACAAAGAGAAAACAAGAGAGAAGUCAGUUUGUAAAAAGAGAGAAUAGAGUGCCGAAGCACUUAGAGUGGAAGAAAAAAAUUUGUGUUUGUGUG
rnacentral:lncRNA from 1 species